CGCGCGGGAACUAAAUUUGGGAUUCUGAGUAAGGAUUUCAGGAAAAAAAGAAAACGAGGAUAUGAUCGAGUGAGGAGUGAGGACUGAAGAAGAUAGAGGAUCUGAUCGAGUGAGGACUGAGGAGUGAGGAUCUGAUCGAUUUGUAGGAAAAGGAUUUCUUAUACGUAGCUGUUCUUUGCCCCAUCCAACAACAUCCGUCACCGCUGCUAGUCCCAGGCGACAAUCAACUAUGUGCGCUGCAGUGCUGCUAAACAUAUUCGCCCUAGUCCAUUUACUUCUUGAUCAUCUUAUUCUUCUUCUAAAUUGAGUAUGUAUUUGAUAUUAAUUCAAUUGGGUUGUUCUAGAUCUAAAUUUUGUCAUACACAAGACUUCGAACUCCAGAGUUGAGUAAAAUCUGAAAUUUUGGCAUUUUCCAGAUCUAAUAAGGGGAAGAGAAGGAUCGAUUGAAGAGGAAGGGUUUCUGAGGUCAUGAAUUGCCCAAGAUCACAAAUGGUCAGAUAUCAAUCUCACUGGAGUUGAGGAACCCAAGUAUAUUCCAGAUUUUCCUUGGUUGAUAUAGAGGAAUUCAGAUCCCACCUCUUCUUUUGUCAAACAACCUAUUGAAUCACAAUGGAUUUUGUAAUUCCAGAUUGAGAUUUUUUUUUUCAAGUUGUCAUUUGAUUUUCAUUUCUUUAAUGUGGUGGUGAAAGCUUUCAAAUCGACAUAUAAAAUGAAGAUGAUAUGUAAGCUAUAAACUAUUAGUUUGCAUGCAUAAUAUGUUGUUUGACAUGUCUACUGAUUAAAUUAAUUCUUUAUGGUCCAUUGAUGGACAGGUAUGCAUGGUGGUAAGUUAGAAAGCCUCAGUCAAGGAGCUUAUCUGUAAUCUCUUGUUUUGGGUAGCAAGUAGGUGGAGAAAGAAAGAGCCAAAGCAGCAGACCAGUAGUAACAUUAUCCACCUUUACAGACAUUUAUGAAGAAGGUUCCGUUUAACACAUCUUGGCUGAGCAGGAAGAGCAGGCAACGAAGUUGUCGGUUGAAGACAGCUGAAAUGCCAGAUUUCUACGCUGAUGAAGAAUAUGAUCUCAGCGGUUUUGCUGUCGGCAUUGUAAAGAAGGAUUCAGUGAUUGAUGGGAAAAGCAUUGUGGAGGGAGAUGUUCUCAUUGGACUUCCAUCUAGUUGAGUCCAUUCUAAAGGAUUCUCUCUAGUCGGAGAAGGGAUCUUGCUCAUGGUGGCCUUUCUUUGAAGGACCAACUUCCUGGUGAAUGUAUCACUUUGGGUGAAGCUCUGAUGCCACCAACUAUUAUCUAUGUUAAACAGGUACUUGACAUCAUCAGCAAGGGUGGUGUGAAGGGAAUAGCCCACAUCACAAGUGGUGGCUUUACAGAUAACAUACCUCGAGUUUUUCCAAAAGGUCUUGGAGCAGCAAUUUACAAAGAUUCUUGGGAAGUCUUCCAGUGUUCAGAUGAAUCCAAAAGGCUGGAGGAAUAGAAGAUGCUGAGAUGUGGAGAACCUUCAAUGAGGGUAUUGGGAUGGUUCUUGUCAUUAGUCCAGAGACUUCAGUUAGAAUUCUUGCAGAGAGAAGGAAUUCUGCAUAUUGUAUUGGUGAGGUCGUAAGUGGCGAAGGUCACUAUUGGGCUUCGAGUUCUUACAUGACCUGUUCCAGAUCGGUCACCUGAAAUCUACAUAACUCUUGGGGUGGACUAUAAUCAUACAGUCCUGUCUUCCAUAAUCGAUGAAACCUUGAAAGAUGUGGUGGCACAGUACAAUGCCAGACAGCUUAUCACUCAGAGAGGGGGCUGGACAACCUAAGCAAACAGAGGCAGGAAGUGGAGCUCAAGGAAUUGGAGAUUCUUGAGGAGCUUUGAGAUGGGGAAGAGAAGUUUGCCGGUGACAAGCGUUCAGUUUCCAUUAUGGAUGAGAUUUCCCUACGGUAGAAAAGGAUGUUCAAAAUAAAGCCUUGAAAUAGAUGCCAAGUAUGAAACUUAUAACCACUGGAAGCAACGGGCCUUGCAACGAGAGAAACUGUAGGAGACAAGUAUCCAGAGGGAGCAGACACUCGUGAAAAAGUUACAGGAGAACAUAAAAAAUCUUGGAAGGCAAUACUCACCUGUGGAAUAAUUGUCUCAUAUUUCGAAAAGAGCUGAUAAUUUCUUGCAUUUUAUUCUCCAGACUGCGCCAGUUGCCAUUGGGCAUCAGGGUGAAGUCAAGAUGUCUCUGUGGGAGUAAAUGUCUUUAUUCUCCUUUGCUUUGGAGAUGUCUUCUAUAUAGAGCAAGUUCUUCUCCAAUCACUAUGGUUAUCUUUUCUAUAUACAUUAAUUUAGCAGAACAUAUAUAUUGGAAGCGUAGGUAAAAGCAACGAACCAAUAAGGAAGUUUGGAGGAAAGAGGUUGCUGCUAAGGAGAGCAUUGAUCAUGGAUUGGGCAUAUAGGGUCAUUUGGAUUGUAUGUCCAGAAAAAAUUCUCUAUAAUAUUAGUUUUAUUUGAUGAUUAUAUAAAUAUUAAAUUUGUAUGGAUUUGUCUCAUGUUAAUAAUUUUGGAUGACAUAAUUAUUAAGCGUUGUCUGGUUGGAUCUA